UUCAAGACAUUUCAAAAUCGCCCGCUUCCCUGCUUCUCUCUCUCUCUCGAUUCCAGAUCUGGAUCUGGAACUAGGGUUUUCCUCCAAGGCGAUUCAAGCUGCUACUCAGAAGGAUCUUACAUCUGGUACACAAUAUCUUCUUCCUAUCAACCCUAAACUUAAUGGAGAUGGUGGAAAGGGUGGUCGGAUAUGUUCCGAGUUAAAAUCUAGGGCUUCCAUGCCGUUCGGAACCAAAACACUCCGAUUAGGGUUUUGUGUGAGAGAUGGUGCUGAAAAAAUGAAGCAACUUAAGAACCAUUAGCAGUGUGCUUGAAGACGAGGUUUUUUCGGUUUAGGAUUUAAUGAUAUGUUUUUAGAACUGUCUUCUAGAGACAGAUUGUUGAAUUUAUCUACUGUUGAAGUUUAGUCCGAGAAAGGGAUGCCCACUAUCGCUGGAAAAUCAAGAAGUGAAUCAAAGGACAAGGAAAAGAAGCAUAAAAGGCACAAGGACAAAGACCGAGACAAGGACAAAGAGCAUAAAAAACAUAAACAUCGUCAUAAAGAUCGAAAUAAAGAUAAGGGCAAAGAAAAAAAGAAGGAUAAAAGCAGUCAUCAUGACAAGAAAAGGAAGCAUGAUGGAAUUAUGGAAACGAAGAUGUCAGUGACACUCACAAGCAGAAGAAAAGUAAGCAUAAGAACUCAAAGAUUGAUGAGAUAGGAGCGUUUAAGAUAGCAGCUUGAACCACAGAACCUGCAAUCAGAGUGGGCUACUGUAGGUUGAGACCACCGGUUAGGCCAAUCUUGCUGAAUCAACCAACCCAGACGGUUCUCGUGCAGCGAUAACUAAAUGAAUUCUGAAUCCGAUUUGGGAGGAAAUCAGAUCGCUCGCCGAGUCUGGAAAGAUUAUUACGUGAAGUUUUACCCACGAACAACGGUGUUUGUGGUAGCCGGCGAACACGAUGAUGGUGUUUUAUGGCGAUUAAGCAGCGGCAACAACGGUGGCUAGCGGCCACAGCCACUCUCCGGCGUUAUCCGUAACCGAAUCAGCGUCGACGGUUCAAGGGUUUUAAGGCUAGAUUAGCUGCAGAUGCGAUUCCGGUCCAAUUUAUCUUCUGGUGAACGUGCUGCUGGCUAAGAGGUUCAGGAAGGUGCACGCCUAGGCGCCCAAGCGAGGUGAAACAUUCUGAAAACCUAAGUACGCAGGCGCGGUGAACCAUUCUAAAAACCGGCUUGAACCAGCUCUGAAGUCUGAACCUGUGUGGAAUACACAUGCGCCCUGCUUGCUUUGGGGCAUCGCUUACGUGCCUUUAGCUUAGCCGACUAGCUCAUCUUUUGCACCUUGAGCCUUUGACUACCUAGAUUAACUUGGUAUACGUUUGUGAAAAUCUUUUCAUUAUGACAACUUGGUAUAAGUAUGCGGAAUUGUUUGAAUUCGGAGAUUUUUUUUUUUGCAACCAUAAAUCGCGGGGUCGUGUAGUUCUGUUUGAGACAAUAAUGUUAAACUAUGAUGAUGUUUAUUGCAGUACAUACCCACUAUUUAGUUUG